rnacentral:lncRNA from 10 species
CCUUAUUUGAUGAGAAUUAUUAUUUCAGUUCUAAAAAUGGGGAAACAAAGUCAGCAGGAGGCAAAGUAGCUUGUUAAAGUAUUCUGCAACUUUCAAAUGGUUGCUUCCACUGCAUUUCACGUCUUGGCACUUCUAAUUGAGGGUUACUCUAACCACCCUAUUUAAAAUUGUAACUGUCCCCCACCCCCUUAAUUACUAACCCUGGUCUACUUUUUGUUUUCUUUUUCUGUAACUCUUAUCUUCUUACUAUAUAAUUUAUACUAUAUAAUUUACUUCAUUAUGUCUAUUGUUUAUUGUCUGUCUUUUCCAAAUUCUACUGCCUCUUACCCUCUCCAGAAUGAAAACUAGUAUCUUUGUUUUUGUUUACUGAUGUAACC